rnacentral:rRNA from 1 species
UACGGGGGGGGCAAGCGUUGUUCGGAAUUACUGGGCGUAAAGGGCUCGUAGGCGGCCAACUAAGUCAGACGUGAAAUCCCCAGGCUCAACCUGGGAACUGCGUCUGAUACUGGAUGGCUUGAAUCCGGGAGAGGGAUGCAGAAUUCCAGGUGUAGCGGUGAAAUGCGUAGAUAUCUGGAGGAAUACCGAUGGCGAAGGCAGCCUCCUGGGCCAACACUGACGCUCAUGCACGAAAGCGUGGGGAGCAAACAGG